CAAAUUUGCAGAAUUAUCCCAAAGAAGUCUAAGUUAACCCCAGAUGACCGCAUAAUUUUUAUUACAACAUUUAGCUUGCAAAAACAAAUGAUGCGUCGGACUAUAUAAAUCUACAACAUAUAAAUUAACUUCUAAUUGACCCGCAGGAAAGAUUUGCCCUACACUUCGAAACUUGGACUAUAAACGCACUCUUCAACCGCUUUUGUACCAAUGGACAGCAUAAGAGCAUUCGACUUCAGGUUUUUUUUUUAUUUUAAGACUUAUAUAUAUGUAAAUAACUACUUGUAUUAUCUCAACACUACUUUGU